UACGUAGGGUGCGAGCGUUUGUCCGGAAUUAUUGGGCGUAAAGAGCUUGUAGGCGGUUUGUCGCGUCUGCUGUGAAAAUCCGGGGCUCAACCCCGGACUUGCAGUGGGUACGGGCAGACUGGAGUGUGGUAGGGGAGACGUGGAAUUCCUGGUGUAGCGGUGGAAUGCGCAGAUAUCAGGAGGAACACCGAUGGCGAAGGCAGGUCUCUGGGCCACUACUGACGCUGAGAAGCGAAAGCAUGGGGGAGCAAACAGG
rnacentral:rRNA from 1 species